ACCGUCCUACUCACUUUCUGAGGAAUUGAAACUGAAGAGCUGAACAAAGGAACAAAGCCUUUUUGACUUUCUGUCCUCCUCACACAUCGUGUACUUGUUACUUGUUACUUCUCACCAUGAAACUUCUUGGAGCUCUGAUCCUGAUUUUGAUUUUGUCCACAGCAUGUGGAUUAAGAUGCUAUUCAUGUACAGCUUCUGAUCCUCACUCCUGCACACAGACCACAACAUGUUCCUACCCCUUUAACCGAUGCUACACCUUGUAUGUGAGCGGCACCGUCACUAAGGGCUGCCAAUACAGUGCCUCCUGUAUCAAGCCUUUUAGCUGCUGUGAAGGGAACUUGUGCAACAGUGCUAUACCAGCUGGUCCCAGUGUCGUGCUCCUGCUGGUGUCUUCAGCCAUAAUCACCGUCUUCCUCUGAAGCUCUGAAACAACUACAUCUUAAUGAUGUUUUACUUUGUUCUUAACCAAAAAUUAUAACAUAGGGAUA